rnacentral:rRNA from 1 species
UUUCGAAUCGUUCGCAAUGGGCGAAAGCCUGACGACGCAACGCCGCGUGGGGGAUGAAGGCCUUCGGGUCGUAAACCCCUGUCAUCAAGGAGCAAAAUCCGGUGAAGAGCCGGCCUGAGUUAACUUGAAGAGGAAGAGGUGGCUAACUCCGUGCCAGCAGCCGCGGUAAUACGGAGACCUCGAGCGUUACUCGGAUUCACUGGGCGUAAAGCGUGCGUAGGCGGUUGGAUGUGUCAGGUGUGAAAGUCUAUGGCUUAACCAUAGAAUUGCGCCUGAAACUAUCUAACUUGAGUACUGGAGAGGUAAGUAGAAUUCCCGGUGUAGCGGUGAAAUGCGUAGAUAUCGGGAGGAAUACCAAUGGCGAAGGCAGCUUACUGGACAGAUACUGACGCUGAGGCACGAAAGCGUGGGGAGCGAAAGGGAUUAGAUACCCCCGUAGUCC